AGUGCAAGUGGGGCAUGCUCCGUUGAGACUUUAUUCACUCUGGGCAGUUUGUUGAAGAUUAGGUGGUCAGCUCACAAUGAAUCAUAAGCUGCUUUUGUCCCUUGCUGUCUAUGCUUAGAAGCUAAAAGGUUAAGCAGCGAUGUCAGCGCUAUCAGGGAGCUGUGGAGACUGGAAUUGAAGUUCAGAACCUUUCAUGGGAGACAGCUCAGAGCCCUGACAGAUGAGAACCAGGAAUUUUUUGUUGAAGAGCUUUCAUCCUUUAGUCAUGGAAUUAUUCUGGAGCAUUUUUUCCUCUUCUUCCAAGUGUUCAAGUAAUAAGAAAGACAGCAGGAUCUUUUAUUUCAGAACAAACAUGAAGUUAUUUAAGAUUAUGUUAUUGAAUAGUCAAAAGAUUACUAUGGAGACUAAAGAGUGCUUUCAACCUAGAAAAAUGACUUUGAAUUAAGAAAAAAAUACCUUAAACACUUGUCCUAGAUAAGAGCCAGUGUGAAUUGCCUAAGCACUGACUAUGUGAUUUUUCAGAGUGCUAUUUCGCAAAGUCAUCCCACAGCCAGAUUUCUAAACAUAGACCUUGUAAAUCGGAGGGAAAAAUCCAGAAGACAUUUUUGUACACUAGGGUCAGAUGAAAAUUUCCACUCUGUAGUACUUUGUCCUCUAAACAACUUUAUCUCUCUGCCCUUUAUUUUAAAUUUUGGAGAAUGGGGGUGGAGGGUUAAUUAAGAAAGUCAAACAUUUAUAGAAACAUUUAAGUAAUCAAAUUGUUAUUAUGUCUUGACAUCUGGUCUUUCCCAUCUUACAUCUUCGUAAGAUGUACUCUCCUCUCUUUUUUUUCCAACAUUAUUGAACAUGUUUCAUAAGGUCAAGAUCACAAAAUGUUUUUCUCCCUUGGGAAAGUGACUAUCUAGAAAGCAGCUGAGGUUAGGGGCUACAGUUAACUACUGCAGUCAGUUAUGGAAUUUUAGGAAUAAGAGCAAGAGCACAGAGCAUGAGAUUAAAGAAAGAAUACAUUUUUUAAAAAGUCCACAGUAUCAGUAGCCUCUAACACAAGCUGCUCCCACGUUAACUACUGAAAGGCAAUACAAGCAACUGCUGUUAUCUGGCAGAAGGAAAAUUACUUGCAGCUACUUUGAGCUACAGGCAUGUUCUUAGCUAGGCACACUACGUUGGAAAUACGUGGUGAGUUUUGUCAAUCCACAUGUAGUGAAAGCUUAAGUGAUUAUUUAAGUAGCUGAAGCAAAGGAGUGUAAAACUAGCAUUUAUUGAAUACAGAAUUAUAGAUUUGGGAGAGUAGUAAAACGAUAAUCAGCAAGCUUCCAUUCUAUAAACAGGCUCUUGCAGAGUGACAAUUCAAAAGAAUGCCUUCUACACUGUCUUGCACAGACAUAAUUAUAAAAUAUUCUUAGUGGUAGAGAACAUUUACCAAAUAAAUAUAUGUUUAAUAACUACUCAGAAUAAAAUGUUUCUAUGAUUUCAUAGUUUUAAUCUUCUGUGAUAUGCAGUUCUAAUGAUUACUGCUUAAAAGAGGGUUUGCAUUUGGGUGAAAAACUAUGAAUCAAUCUGUUAUUCUGUAUUUUAAAAUAGAUUGAAUUUCUGUUUUCAGGAAAGGAAACAUUUAUGUUCUUAUGUACUAAGUAUGCAGGGAUUUAAGUUUAUAUUUACUUUUUUUCUGCAUCAAUAAUCUAUGUUUCAAAGUAUUAUUUGUGUAAAACAGUGUAAAAAACAUACUGAAUUAAAUUCUCCCCUGAGUGAGAAACAA
rnacentral:lncRNA from 1 species